CUCGUUCUCCAGACAGUGCGCCUGGCACUCACCAUGUAGUCAUACCUCCUCUUGAAUUGUUAUUUAAACACUGUGACCUGCAUGACAGCAGCAACCUUCUCUUUUCUGUUCACCAUGGUAUCCUGAGGACAUGCCUGACAGAUGAAGGUGACCAAGAAGAC